rnacentral:rRNA from 1 species
UACCUAUUUGUUGCCUCGGCGGUGCCUGUUCCGACAGCCCGCCAGAGGACCCCAAACCCUGAUUACAUUUAAGAAGUCUUCUGAGUAAACCGAUUAAAUAAAUCAAAACUUUCAACAACGGAUCUCUUGGUUCUGGCAUCGAUGAAGAACGCAGCGAAAUGCGAUAAGUAAUGUGAAUUGCAGAAUUCAGUGAAUCAUCGAAUCUUUGAACGCACAUUGCGCCCGCUAGUAUUCUGGCGGGCAUGCCUGUCCGAGCGUCAUUUCAACCCUCAAGCCCCCGGGCUUGGUGUUGGGGAUCGGCGAGCCUCCGCGCCCGCCGUCCCCUAAAUCUAGUGGCGGUCUCGCUGUAGCUUCCUCUGCGUAGUAGCACACCUCGCACUGGGAAACAGCGCGGCCACGCCGUUAAACCCCCAACUUCUGAACGUUUGACCUCGGAUCAGGUAGGAAUACCCGCUGAACUUAAGCAUAUCAAUAA